rnacentral:lncRNA from 1 species
UUAGCCCUAGCCCGGCCGAGCAUUUACGUUUGUCAUCACUAAACCAUCGAGGGGCCCAAAGAUAUCGCUUUUAUCCUACUUUGGAUAAAAGGAACGGAUAAACUUUGAUACAAUGCUUGCUUGCACUCACUCACCGAAUCACACACAACAAUAUGUUUUAUAACACCAAGUUACUAGUGCAUUUACAUAUUAUCAAUGUGCAACCAAUUUGCAAGAUACAACUCACACAUCUCGGUUUCAAGAAUAUAAGAUGUUAUCGUCUCACCAAUCACUCGUGAUACAAUUCAUGGAGUGAUCCAAGUGAGCGUGGGUUUAAUCCAAUGCUCAAAUCACAUUCAUAAGCACUCAUGAACGUUGCAGCAAACAUUUGCUUAUGUCUAAUACUCUUUUAGACAAUCCACACACCAAUUCACGACAGUCUUCAUUCAUAUCUACUUCCAACAUAUAAACGACUAUGGCCCGUUUGAAUAAUUCGAUUAUUCUUAAUAAACUCAAUUAUUCUGGAAGUCAAAACAUGCAAAUGUGAAACACAAGAAUAAUACUAAUCCCAUAUGGCCUCAACCCUUUGAUCAUAUAUAACACUCCUUUUAUUUAUCACCAUAUCGAUUACUCAUUAUUUGUCGUUUCGGGUAAUCAACUUCUUACUUGAAUUACUACACUUGUCCCAUGCGGCAAGCAUGCACACAAUAUUUACCUAUGGUUCUUACUUUGUGAAAUAGACCAAAUUGAGCACAUUUCCAAUCAUUCUCAUUUCAAAACUUGAAAUCCUUUUUCCAUAAGUGAAAGAAUAUCAAAUUCUUGCUACUUAUAGAAUAUUCUAGAUUCUAACAUUUUAUGCAAUGAUGUCUUUUGUAAUGUCACUGCACCAAAGUCACAAAGACUAUUGCCAAUGAUAUUACAAAGUCUUCUAUCGGAGAUUGUUACAAAAUAAUUCCAUAGACGUGAUGUCUCUCACUCAAAGUACAUUCUUUGAACAUCGUUUUGCAUAAAAGUUUCUAAUCUAGUCAUAGAUUUUCAAUUUUCAAUUCCCAAUAUGGACACAUUUCCAUAUUUUCCAUAUGACAACUUAUGCUUAAUAGAAUCUUAUCUAUUCAUAAUAAGUUGAUAUGGUCCAUUCAAUACCAUGCUUCCAACUACUCACAAGCAACCAAUCCUCGUUGAACUUUGGAUUGUCCUUUGAUAGUUGUUUGAUUAUUUUAGUCAAAACCGAUUCUAGUCCCUUUUCCCUCUAAAUGCGCUAGACAUUUGUAAAAUUUUAGAAUGGUCAAACAUUAAAUCAUUUGCAAUCGAUCCUAUACCUGAAGCGUAUGGGACACGACGCACAAUGUUUUAUUUGCUAUGUUCUCAAAAUUUGAAUUGUGAAGAGGAAUAUCGUAAUCAUAAUCGAAAUUUUAAGAACACACUAUGUACCUUGGACUAAAUUUAUUAACAUUCCACAACCUAAGCCUUUAGAUUUGAAAUGAAGCAUAAUAUUCUCUCCCUUAAUCAUAGCAAAACAAUUAUUCCAUCCUUUCAACUUUGCAAAGAAUGAAUCUUGUUUUCUAUAAUUAAUAUUGCCAACUUGCAAUACUUUUCUUGAUAAUCAUACAAUCAUAACAUUUAUGCUCCUACUAUCAUGAUGAUUAUUAUAAACAUAACACUUAUGCUCCCAUUAGCUUCGACAUUUAUUCAGAAACAGCUUAACUUUCAGAAAAACAAUACUUAUUGAAUUUCUUAAGUUCAUGUUUCUAAUACUUAGUGCUUUGAUAAUCUUUUAUCAAGGCUUCUUGAACUUUUACACCUUUGCGAUAGAUAGUUCAUAUGUGUGUCUAAACAAUUAAGACUAAUUGCCAAACCUCACAAUUCAAAUUAUGGAAAGGGAUAUCGUAACCAUAAUCGAAUUCGAGAAUGCAAUUAUCUUCUUAAAAUCCUUCUUAGUGAAAGCAUUUCCUCACAAUCAUUUUCAUGAAGGAGGAAAUCUUAUGACACUUAGAUUUAAACGGUGUAUGUGUUCCUAUCCAUGUGAAGUUGUUAAAACAAAAGUUUACAACAAAUUCAAACUCAUAUGGACCGAACUUUCUUAAUCUUGAUUUCUUGCCUUAUGGUAGCACAGCUGCCCACCAUGUCUUCCAAGUAGUUAAGCAGCUCACCCUUUCCUAUCAAUGUACCUUUCAUUGAUUAAGGUGCUUUGCCUUUUAUGCGUUCAAAAUGAGAACUCAUAGAACUCACAUGCAUAAUUAACUCGAUUGGAUUGGCACAGAAACAAAAUAAUGUCAACACGAUAGGUUGUAAACCUCAACUCGUGUGCUAGUGAUGAUCGAUAAGGUUUAUUUGAUUUGUUCUUGAAACCUUUCAAGACCAUUAAGACUCCCACUGACUCCUUGACAUAUAAGAUUCUCUUGUCAAUAAACAUUUCUUGACAAACAAAUAUUCAAGAGUUAGUGUAGCUUUUAUCAAAACACUUCAUAAAUUGGUCCUAGUUGGUCUUUGUCUUAUCCAAGACAUCACAACUUUCCACAUUUGAUGAAUGUUAUAAACCUUCUUAAUACUUUUCACUCAAUGUCACAAUCUUAACUCUAAGACUUGUUUUGGAACGAAGUAUGAUUGACUUCUUGAUUUAACCAUUUCUUCAAUUCUUGAUUCCUCUUCUUAGACAUACAAUUGUACUAAGACUCACUUAGAGGAUCAAUUGAGAUAUGGUUCUUAAUCAUUAAGACCUAUCAUAAAGCAUAAAAGGUACUCUCCCUUCUUCUUAGAAUGGAGAAACUUUUAUCUUUCUGCCUACUUGAUUCUUCUUAUUCGUUCUGCUAUUGAUUUAAACUUUUUCAAUCAAUUCAGAAUUACACUUAAUCUUGUAAGUAUAAUCAUAUUUACUAAACCUUUAGUAAAUCAUGACGAAUAUCUUUGUUACUCUUAUGGUGGACUUGAUCAACACGCAACUUUGUGUACUCGAUCUCCUAGUCCUUCACUUGACACUUUGUCAAUGAAUUAGUCUAAUUUCCAAAUAUGAAAUUUCUCAUUCAUCGUGCAACCAAGUUGCAUGAUUCCAAGUUUCUGUCCAAUUGAAACUUGGGCGAUGAGAAACUCUCCCUAUUUGGUAAAUUCUCGACUUUCCAUAAAUAACAUAAUAAGAACCAAAUCCAUUAUUGCUAAUAAUAGAAACAUUCAAACAUCAAUUUUUCAUAUACGCCAUUGCAAGGAUAAAUAAAUAAUAUAAAAUCAAAAUUUAUUUUAUUGCGGAAAAAAUUUGUCCUUACAAUGCAAUUCAUUGAAAAACUAUGCUAAUACAUCUUUCUUAGCAAUCUAAUUCUAACUCUAAGUAGUAGCUCAAGAAUCUAAUCUUCGAGAAAUGCGAUCGAAAUCCAUUCCUUCACGGUUAGAUUCUGCUCACUUCUUCCCUUAAGCUUCCUUUCUUUUCUUCGAUCCUACAAAACAUCAAUUGUAAUCUUAUCACAUUAUGUAUUAAGAAUCUAGAAUAGAAGCUUAAAAGAGUUAGUUAAUGGAUUUUACCUAUAUUAGAGCCAUACGUUUCGACUCUCCCAUCUCUUAGAUCUCUUAGGUAAAUGGGGCAGCUUCGUCUCCAAUGCCCUUUCUCUUGGCAAUAAAAGCAAAUUGACUCUUUUGGAACAUGACAUGGAACUACUUCAGACAUUGCCUUUCUCUUAUGAUCAAACUUUUCGAUCAUAGCAUGUCUUUCGUUGCCAUUGUCUAUAUCCAUAGAGGUCUUGAAGGCAGAUUCACCAAUCAACUUUGCUUUUCUAUUGCGCCAAACCAUUGCUGAUUCAGCAGCAAUAAGCAUAUAGGUGAGAUCUAUAAGGGUCACGUCGCGGUUCAUCAUAUAGUACUCUCUUACGAACUCACUAUAUGAGUUAGGAAGUGACUGAAGAACCCAAUCAACAGCCAUUUCCUCACAGACAACGGAUCCCAACAUUCUUAACCUAUCAAUGUGUGACUUCAUCCCUAGGACGUGUGCACACACCGGCUUUCCUUCUUUAUGUUUACUUGCCAAAAGGGCUUGAGUGAUCUUGAACUUUUCAAGCCUUUGAACUUGUGGGUUAGGGAGAAUAAUUGGAGGAGGAGGAGGAAGUGAAGUAUGAUCUCUUGUUCCUCGAUCGAAUCGUGGAAUAUCAUCUUCAUGUGGAAUGCUUGUUCCACGGGAUUUGGGAAGACCAUAGUUGUCGAACUUUGACAUCUACAAAACGGGAGAAAACGAAUUCAAGUUAGUUGAUAGAUUGAGUCCUUAGUAAAUCACCCAAAUGAGAUACUAAGGCUAGGACCCAACACAAUAUUCUACAACUCGGGAGAGGGAUGCCGUAACCCAAAUUGCAGAAUAUUUGAAGGUAAGUGAAUGACGAUUCACUAAUUUCCACCACGAAAAACGAAAAAGAAAUUUAAGUUUUAAAUCUAUGAAAACUCCUAGAUCCUUUGAGAUUCAUUGAACAUUUCAAUGGCAUGUUUAAAUCUCGAUAUGCCCCUCUUGUUUGUGACUGGGAUGCCGAGGAUCACAAAGCGGGUGUGAAUAACCAUGCAAACUUACAUGGUGCCCUCACAUGUUACAGUCACCUAUUCGAUGUGCCGGUAAACCACACACGCUCCACCGGACUAUGACAAACAUUGAGUCACGCUUUGCUACCUUCUCUUAGAACUAUUUAGUGGGCCGGUAAACCACACACGCUCCACUAACGUCUUUGCAAGGGCACAAAGUGUAAUUUCAUGGAAUUGCAUCAAUUCAGUUUUGCCUAAGUAACUAAGAUUGGGAAUUUUAUGAAAAAAUUUAGUUACUUUUAUAUUAAUAAUGGAGGGUUUCGUCCUAUCCUACCCGUUCGGCUAACGACCCUCCACUAGUCAAGAGUGCGGUGGGUAAGAGUGGAUACCCAUUCAAUCGCCAUUUUAUAGGCAAUUUCCUUAAACACCCCUUAUAGACCAGCUUCGUGAAUGAGGCCUACUAAUGGUAAGACUGACUUUUACUCAUACAUAUAUAUAAUGUUAAACUUUUAAUGUUAUAUAUAGUAUAGGGUGUAUUUUAUACUUUUAAAAUAUUAGGUGGUCAAAUUUAACAAUUAUACCUUUAAUUCAAUUAAAUUGUAAACCAAAACUUUAUGGAUUUAUUAAGCCUCUUUUAAUUAUACACCUUAAUUAAUUAAUAAAACCAUAAGGGUGAGAUUUGAACUUUUUCAAAACUAUACUAGAGUUUUAGAAUUUAACAUUCCUAAUUAAACUUUUAAUCAACUUUUAAAUUCCAAAACUUGAGGGCAAGUUUUGAAACGUUUCAAAACAUUAGGUUUAGAAUUUAAAUAUACAUCAAAUUAAAUUAUUAAUCAAAAUUUAAAUUCCAAAACUUGAGGGCAAGUUUUGAAACCUUUUCCAAAACAUUAGGGUUUUAACUAUUUAAAUUUCUAAACAACUUUUGGGUUCAGAUUUAAACUAUAAAACCUAAGGAGAAAAUAUGAAACUUCUCAUAACAACAAGGAUCAAAUAACAAAUAAUCUAAAUUAAUAAUUAAUCACAUGAUUAUCCAUAUUUGAUUUAUUUAAUGAUUUCUUGCAAAACAAUUUAUCAAUUUAGUCAAAAUAAUUAAUCAAUUAUCACAUAAGGAAACAAUUAUCUUAUUAAUUGAUAAAUAUCUUCAAUUAGAUCAAGAAUAUAGUCAAAUAUAUCAUAAAAUCGGAUUUAUAUUGAUCUAAUAUGAUAAGGUAACUAUCCCAAAGCAAAAACAGCAAGAAAUCCCGAGAUAUGCUCCAUCUGACGAGUUGACUCGUCGAGUCAAGCUUGGACUCGUCGAGUCUGCAUGGACUCGGCGAGUUCAGCUAUGGACUCGGCGAGUCCAGCCUCCAGAAACCCAAAAAACGAAUUUUCCAGUUAUACAAUGCAUCAAUACAAUUGAAACCAAUCUAGGCUCUGAUACCACUGAUGGGUUUUGGUCAUAAGACAUCCUAUGUGCUCAUACAAACCCUAAUGCUUGGAUCUAGGUUUCUCUAUUGUACAUGCUUUGAAUCCAAGACUAUAAACCCUAAUUCUAGCAUAUGGAAAUCAAUAUUAACAUAUAAUUAGGUUUAUAAUAUUACCUUGAUUGUUAUGUAGCAAUAACAAUCCCAAUUCCUCCUUGAAUUGACUUUGGAAGGCUUAGAGUCACAAGUGUCACUCCUCUAAUGGUUCACAAACACCAUAAGCAAGAGGAUGAAGAGGAGAGAGGAUGGAGGCUGCCCAAAACGUGUUCUAACCCUAGAAAAGAAGUUCCCCACGUUUUUGAGCCUUAAGGGUUCUAUAUAUAGUGAGGCUAUUAGGGUUAUCUAACAAGGAAACCCUAAUUUGGUUGCUUAAGCCCUAAGCAACCCAUGGAGCCCUUUCCUUAAGGCCUUGGACGAUUUCAUAUGGGCUUCCCCCAUAGAAUUCGUCCACCUUAUAAUAAAAGGCAAUCCAUGGCCCAAAUUGCAAUUAUCUUAUAAUUACAAUUCCAGUCCCUUAAGUUUAAUUAAUCUCUUUUAGUCACAAAACUAAUUACCAAUUAAUUAUUGACUAAUAUUAAUUAAACAAUAUGAUUUCUCCUUUAAUAUAUUAUUCCCAUAAUAUAUUAAUAAAUCAUAUUUAAUCCUUUCUCUCCAUAAUUCAUCCUAUCAAGUUGCUUUGGUGAAGGUAACCCAAAAGGACCAUGCACCAUCGGGUCAAGUACAUACCAAAAUAGUUAUGGACUUAGACACUAAUCCAACAGAAGAGUCAAUAUACAAUACAUUAUUUCCUUGAUUAUCUACAACAGAUACAGUUUCAUACACGCCAUUACAAGGUAAUGCUUUAAAAUAAUGAACAUUAUUAAAGAAAGCAUCAGUACUCUCAUUAUUAUUAUCAAAAUAAAAAGUAAAACCUUGUUUAUACAUUGCAUGAAAGGAAAUAAUGUUUUUUUCCAUUUCUGGCAAAUAAUAACACUUAUUCAAAUCUAAUGUAAACCCACUAUUUAGCGAUAAUGUAUAAACUCCAAUCUUGGUGACAGGAGAAGCUUUCCUGUUUCCCAUGAUCAAGUUUAUUCUUCCUUGCUCCACAUUCUCACUUUUUCUUAGUCCCUGCAAAUCAGAACAUAUAUGAAUACCACAACCGACAUCAAGGACCAAUGAGUUAGAAUGGGGUGAGUUAUUAGAUAAGAUAGUGUAAAUACCUACAUUGUUGAGUUUAACUUUCCCAUCCUUCACAUCUUGCUGGUACUUUGGGCAGUUCCGCUUCCAAUGUGCCUUUUCUUGUCAAUAGAAGCAUUCACCCUCUUUUGGGUCAGAAAAAGAAGUGAUGAGGCCUUUCUUGGUUCCGCUUAAAGAAGAGCCAUUAAGGGUCCUAGCCUUGGUACCCUUCGAAGAACUCUUUCUCUUCUUCCAUCAUCCUGUCUCGAUUGCCAAGACAGGGGCGGAGUUGGUAGGAGUAGGAGUAGUAACAACUGCCUUACCCUUAAGACCACUUUCCGCGGUCUUUAAGAGUCCUUGAAGUUUGCUGAGAGUGACCUCUUCCUUGUUCAUGUGAUAUGUCAUGCGGAAUUGAUCAUAACACGAUGGUAAGGAGUUUAAAAUGAUAUCUAUUGCAAGCUUCUCGGGGAAGUUCACAUUGAGCAUCAGCAACUGGUCCACAAAUCUUUGCAUUUUCUGCAUGUGGCCCGUGAUGGGUUCACCAUCCUUCAUUCAGGUUGUUAUCUAGGAGGAGAUUAUUUCAUAUCGCUCUUGAUGAGCACUUUGAUGAUAACGGUCGAUCAAGUCCUGGUGCAUCUCAAAAGGAUAAUAGUCCUCAUAUGACUUUUGGAGCUCGGCUGUCAUGGUGGCCAUUAUGAUGCAUGCUACUUUUGUAGCAUCUCUUUCAUGUACCUCAUAUUCAGCAAGCUCUUCAGGAGUUGCAGUUGGUUCGGGUACCUUUAGCUCCUUGUCGAGAACAUAUUCUUUGUUCUCAGACCGAGUGACCAUCCUGAUGUUCCUGAUCCAAUCAGUAAAGUUGCAUCGAUCGAAGAUGACUCUCCCACAAAGAUUCAUGAGAGAGAAAGAGCUAUUAGGUUUAGAGCCAGAAGCAUUGUUAUUGGAAGACAUCUAAAAAGAAGAGUGAAUAGAUUAGAUUAGAUUUAGAGAUAGUCCCUAAUAAAAACCCAAAUGUAGUAUUAAGGCUAGGACACAACACAAUAUUUUAUAACUUAGAAGAGGGAUGCCGUAAUCUAAGCUAUAAGAUAUUUGAAGGUAGGUGAAUGACGAUUCACCAAUUUCCACUAUGAAAAACAAAAUUUUUAAUUAGGUUUUUAAGUGGUUUAGAAACUCCUAGAUUGUUUGAGAUUCAUUGAACUUUCUUCAAUGGCAUGUUUCAAUCUCGAGUGUGCCCUUCAAGUUUUGUGACUAGGUUGCUGAGGAUCACAAAACAAGGUGUGAAGCAACCAUGCAAAUUACUUGGUACCCUCAAUGUAUUACCCCUCAAUCGAUGUGCCGGUUAACCACACACGCUCCAUUGAUACUAUGAUAAACAUUAAGUGACCCUGUACCUACCUUUUUAAGUUCAACUUAAUGUGCCGGUUAACCACACACGCUCCACUAAUGAAUUAAACAAAGCGUAACUUUGUAAUUUGAUGGAUUAGCACCGUAUUCACAUUUUCCUAAAAUUACUAAGAUUGGGAAUUCAAUAAAGUUUAGUUAUUGUAGUAUUAUCAUUAUACUUUUAAUGAGAAUUCAUAAGUCCUUGUCCUACCCGUUCGGCUAACGAUCCUCCACCGAUCAAGGAAGCGGUGGGUGAGAGUGGACACCCAUUAAGUUGCCAUUUUAUAGGCAACAACCUUAUACUCCCCUUAUAGACCGGCUUUGUAAAUAAGGCGUACUAGCGGUAAGACGACCNUCAACUAGAAAAUCGAUCUUUAUAGGUGGGACACCAAAAACGAAAACAGAAAAAGCUGUCGAAACAGAAUAAAAAAGAGACUCCUCAAUGGGCGGAGACUCAGCCUCAGGAAAUUCUGUUAGUGAGAGACGACCUGGCAACCUUGCUAUGUGAUUACCGCCUUUAGAAAGCAAUUAAGACAGAAUGGAAUGAAUGACUGAACGAGCAGCCGGGCAUGGGCAUGGGAAAGAAGUUCCCUUAUAUAAUGGAAUCAUUGAACUAGGCUAGGAAGAAAGAUCAAUCAAUUCUAUAUGCGCUUUUGCCAUCCGAUCCGAUGACCCCCUUGAUGCCCUUUAUGUUCUCUCUCUUGCCAUAGAGUAAGUGUGCCGUUACGGGCCCCUAUCUAGGUGCUUUGUCUCCGACUCACCGGAAAAGGAAGAAAGAAGGUUUAGCGACUCCGCCCUACACUCCUAUUGGCUAGUGAGCUAGUUCCCCUUAUCUAGAAAUUACAAACAAUUCCUAUGAUCAUGUAAUCUUUAUAAUUUCAAGAACAUGAAUAUUAACAUUUCAAGAAUCAUAAAUUACUCAUAGAUCUUAUAAUUUUUGAUUAUACCCAUUGGAAAUGGAUUAGCAUAAACAUUACACCAUCUAAAACAAGUUUUAUAACACCAAAACAGUUUAGGGUAAUGUUUGUAGUUCAUUUCCACCAGCAAAAGUCGAAAAUCUACAUUCUGAGGCUCCUACUCGUUGAGUGCACAAACCUACUCGGCGAGUAGGAUGAAGAUACACAUGAAAUCGACGAGUCCCCCCAUGGACUCGACGAGUUCAUCAGGCAGACAGCAAGAUUUCGACUUUUUCCAAUAUUUUGCAUCAAGUAUCAAACAAACAAGCCUAGGCUCUGAUACCACUGAUGGGUUUUGAGCAUUCUAACACUUCCUAAGUGUACAUGCAACCCUAAUAAACCUUGGAUCUAUGUUUGUCUAAGAUACAUGCAAAUAAUUAUUUUUCCAAGGUCCUUAUCCUAUCUAGCAUGACAUGGGGAACAUGAAUCAAAUAAAGCUAGUAGAAUUACUUACCUUGUAGUUGUAGUUGAUUGCUUGGAGUUUUAGAGCCUAGCACCAAUACUGUGGAUGCGUCAAAUGGAAAUAACAAAUCACCACAAACUUGGAACUUUGAGAGAAUUGUCACAACUAUCUUGAAAUCGGCCCUCUUGCUUUACUCACCUCAACUAGUAUGAUUUCAAGAACCAAGGCCUUCUUUAUAUAGUGUGGUGGAUUAGGGUUACAUCCAUGUAAAAACUAAUACCCAUGUCUCUUCAUUUCAAUGAGAUCCAUGAGUUAAAGCUCCAUGGAGUAUCCAUGGACUUUCCAUGCAAGCCUAGCCCAUUCCAAAUAAGCAUUAUCCCACACUAUAUAAAUAUAGGAGCCUAUAUUUAAUUAUUAAUACUUUUGAUCUCUAAAUUAAUCCUAGAUUAAUUAUAGAUCAAUACUAAUUAAAUAAUGUGAUCUUAUAUUAAUAUAUUAGAACUUAUAAUAUAUUAAUAACUCAUAACUUAUACUAUUCUCCAAAGAUUAUCCAUAAAUUGUUCGGGUGAAUUGCAACCCAAAUGGACCAUGCCGGGUCGGGUCAAGUACAUACCAAAUAUAGUUAUGGACUUAGACACUAUAUCCAACAAAUAGAAGUAAGAACAAAGGAAAACCGUGCUUCUUACAUCUGAAGUGUUUGAGUGUCUUUUCGUCACUCUAUAACUAGUAAAUCGACUCAACCUAGUGAGUUAAUAUUUACAUUACUCACAUUAGGUUUUGAAAUUAUCAUCUUUUCCUGUCAUGGCUAAUAACAAUAAACCGAAUCACGAAAUCUCAAUCGAUAGUGAUUACUUCUCAAAUUCAUAAGUCUAUUUUAUGUAGACUCUAUUAUGAAUUACUUUCAAAUCUUUUCGAAUGUUGGAACAUGAUAUCUAUCAACUAAAGAAAACUCAGUUUGGAUAACACUCGUCUGGUAACCAUUCUAGAAACUUACUUCUUAUUUUUACUAGGACUAUAUCAUAGGGAUGUAGGUUGAACCUUUGAGAUCAGUAUAAAGAAACAGAAAAUUUGUAUUCAUAUAAAUGAUUACAAUACAUCUAGAGCCAACUAUUGUUAUUCACAAGCUCGUGUUCUCAUCUUACAACAGAAUCAUGCCUCCAAAGAAAUGCAACCAACCCACUGGCAAAAAACCAAUCCUUCAGAUAGAUGCGGCUACGAUUCAAGUCGCAGUCAUAACACCCGUAACAACUGUCGUGGCCCAUCUUAAUUCUAAUAACACAAGUGACAGUGAAAAUUUUAUCGGCAAUUUUGAUCGUUGUGAUAACCAAUUUCAGCAACGAGUUCGUACUUUUAAGGACACUCCGAACCUCAAACCUAAUAUCCUGAAACGAAAGUUCAAGAACAUGAAAGGGAGUUGUUCAACUCAAGAACCUAGUAGAGGGCAACAAAAUGGAGCAGUCAAUACCCCCAUCAGCCGUGUUAUUCCAGCACCGACCACACCAUACUUAGGAAACCUCCCAUACUAUAGGAAGUGCAACUACCAUCAUUACGGAGUCUGCCAAGUGCUGCAUUGCAAUAGAUGCAAGAUGAAGGGGCACACAGCCCACAUCUGUAAGACUCCGGUCAAGUUCAUCACUUCAACUACCAAUGUUGGAAUCAAUCCAAUAUGCCAUUUAUGUGGCAAAAUAGGACAUUUCAAGAGGGAUUGUCCAACAGAAAAGUGUAACGGGGGAGCAAGAGGAGUUUGACCCCAGAUUGGGGGGAAGCAUCAAAGAACCCUGCUAUAUUUUUGGUACGCUUCUGAAGCCCAAUAAUUAAUGAUAUUUAUAAAUUACUCUCUCGUUCAAAACAAAUCAUAACACUUAUAUAAAACUCAAAACCCUAACUGGUAAGCUAUGAUGGCUUAGUGUAUAUAUUAGGGUAACUUAUAAUUAAGAUUUGUAGACUUAGAGUCAGUGAUCCCGCCUCAUUUCCUGUUCCUUGUUUGGUUGUGGAUUUAGCACAGGAUAGCUCAGUCAACUGUCUUACCAAUCUUAAUUAUACAUGACUUGUGUACACCAAGCGGUUAUAGAGAGACCUAGCAGGGAUAAUUUCAUGAAAGUUCAUGAUUUCAAUUUGCCAGAACCCUAGUAUUAUUAGUACUCCCCAUGAUCAAAUCAAAAAGGGGUUCGUAUCUAUAUAACAUAAUAAAACUGAAUGCAUUAAAAACUUAUUUACUUAGGAUUCUUCAUCAUCCUAGUAAUCAUCUCUUCCAGAAUGACUUAAUAUCAAGUUCAUCGAGAAGUUCCGACAUUCUCAUCCGACAUGGUUCGGCUUGGUCCUUACCAUGUAAAAAUUCUCAUGCUGUGUAAAAAAACUUUUUGCUUAAUUAGCCGUUAAAUGAAAUUCCUCCGAUCCAUAACGCAAACCCUUAUAUCAUCUCUCACCUGAAGACCUCAGAAGUACCUAGGGAAGGGGUACCAUACCUUCGAGCCUGCUUAAUAGAUAAAAAACUUGAAGCGAAAACCACCAAAGAAGUCUCAGAAGUCAGUAACUACCCGUAGUAUACCCAAUAGAUCUCCGAGGAAGACCACUUUUUAAUGCAGGUCAAGUUCAAGAAUAGAGUAUAAGAACUCAUUAGAUUAAUCUAUCGCUGCUAAACGUAUAUGCAAGAGUGGCAUAUAAUUUAGAGUCAACAAGAUUUAGGUUGUGUGCUUCCGCCCUAUUUCCUGUUCCUUUUCUAGUUGUGGAUUUGGGGUAGAGGGACCCACCCAAACAUUUUGUUGACCUAGGUUAUAUACGACUCAUAUACACGAGGUGAUGAUAGAUGAGCCAAGUAUGAGUAUUAUCGUGAACUUCAGAACAAAAGGCUACAACCCUACUACAACAAACGGAGACACCUGAGUAGAAGUGGUAGUGGAUUACAAUGGACCUCAUAAUUAAAUUAUUCAAGACAACAGGUGGACUUAAUGUCAUUUUGGAUGAUUGUCGACCGAUUAGCCAAGUCUGCGCACUUCCUACAAUUUUUAAGAAAUAGACAAAUAGAGAAGAUAACUAGAUCGUGUGUUAGAGAGAUUAGUCAAGCUGCACGGUGUUAUAAUAUCUGUUAUCUCUGUUGAGCUAAUAGAAUCAUCUUCCAGUUCAAGGAGUCACUUCAGAAAUCUCUGGGAACUAGGCUAGUCGUGAGCAUACCCUACCAUCCUUAAACCAUUAGACAGAAUGAGAGAACAAUUCUAUUAUUAUCAGUUAUACUAAGAGCAUAUAUGAUCGACUUUGGUAAAGCAUGAGAUACCUAUUUACCAAUUAGUCGAGUCCUUGAUCAUGCUAGCAUUUAAAGUUGCUCCAUUCAAAACCCUCUGAAGUCACAAGUGCAGAUCCCUCUGCUCUGGACUAAAGUAGGUAAUACGCAAGUAGCUAGAGGUUCAAAUUCCAGUUAGCACCUUCGCUGGUCAAGAAUUCAUCCAAGAAACUACCGAGUAGGAAGUACAAAUCAGAAAGCGAAGUAAAGCUUCAAAAGUCAAACAGAAAAGCUAUGCCUUAAAUAGGAGAAAACUCUUGGAGUUUCAGGUUAGUGACCACGUCAUGUCAAGGUCUUACCCUGGAAGGGCAUGAUAUGUUUCGGAAAGCAUUGAAUACUAAAUCGAAGGCACGUAGGAUCAAUAAAUUUCACCCUAUCUUUCCACAUCGUUAGCUUGAAAAAGUGUUGUCCAACAGUACCUUUGUUAUCCCACUCGAUUAAAUCGAGUUAAAUUAGAGCCUUAGUUUUGUAGAUGAAUCCAUAGAAAUCCUAUAUGGAGAAAGUAUCUGUAGAAACAUUAGACAGAGAAUUCUAGAGAACGAAAACGAAACCAUACCCCGAUAGUGAAGUUUCACUGUAAUUCAUAACGAGAACCUGAAUACACUUAAGAGCGAAACAAUCAAAUGAAACAUGAGUAUUCAUACUUUUCACAUUCAUCCAUAUGUAUUUCUUUGACUUAAUUCUAGGACGAAAUUACCUCUAACGGGGGAUAAUGUAACAACCCGUUACUUUCUAGCCUUUGAAGUCAACAAAAGUCAACCCAAGGUCAUUCGUGUUCAAUAAAAGUCAACUUAAAAUAACGUCAAUAAUUAAAUUGUUGAAUAUUCUUGUUUGGGUUAAAUAAACUAAUAGAUAUUGUAACAAGGUCUCCAAAAAUAUAAAGAAAAAUGAAAUCCGAGUUAUAGCAAAGAAGUUAUGACAAAUCGAAGAUCCGCGUCAAAACUGGAAAAUCAUUGUUUAACGUAAAACGUGAAUUUUCAAGAAUAUGCUUUUGAGCAUUAACAAUCUACAUGAAAGUCAUAAAAGACGUUGAACCGAGAGUUUCCUUAAAAAGAAAGUCUAAAUCUGACUUCGUAUGAAGAAAUUAUGAUUUUUCUAAAGUUUCGACACACCAGUAUACAACCCGAAACUCGAGUUCUAGUUUGAACAAUUUUUUGCGAAAACAGCCUAAACGAGAAUCGAAGGUCUCGUUGAUCAUAGUGCAACGAUAAAAAGACAGACGGAAACGGACGUCGGAUGAAGAAGUUAUGCAUUUAUCACGAUGUUUUUCCUGUCCCGACAUAGUAAAAAUAAUAUAAUAAAAAUAAAUUAAAAAUUAGCCGACGGAGUAUAAAUGAAAGUUGUAGAGCAUAGUCUCACCUACGUGUGGAUAUAAAGAACGCCAGAAACGAAGCUCGUAUAAAGAAGAUAUGUAUUUCUGAAGUAUUUAAGUAAUUAAAAUAUAUUUAUAAAAUUAUAAAUUCGGAUAAUAUCUGAAGAGGUGACGCAUCCGACCUGUUCAACCCGGUACGCCCUGCGUACUAGGAUUAAGCCCCGUGUACAUGUCGACACCGAGGUACGCCCUACGUACGAGGUAGUUACGCGUAGCGUAUAGCUGCAUUGCUCGGUCCAAAAGAGUCCACGUCGCCCCACCGAAGCCUCGACACCUGGCAGGCCCAUCCGAACUACGCGCCGCGUAGAGCUUCGUACGCCCAACAUACCUGAGAGGGUGCAACCCUAUAAAAGGCAUGCGAGACCUCCGGUUUUUGUUGCUAAUUUUUCCACUUCUUCACCUCUUUCUUUCUUCUUCUUGUCAAUUUAUACCCCCGAAGCCCCGCUAUCAAUCCCGACUUCCGAAGCAAGACCCGAUGUCCAAAAUUCUCGAAAAUCUAACUUCUCUCCAGUCGAAACUCUGACCGCAUAAAGCUCGAUUUUCAUCAGAAACUCGCGGUUACGUCAAGAUAGCUCAUUCCUAGAAACGAAAAGAUGCCCAAAUCACCAGUUAUUGGUGAGCUCAUAUCCGUAUGAUCUACAUUUUAAAUGAUUUUAAAUGCUUUAUAAGGGGGGAAUACAAGUGGAACACAAUCAUAUUGUGUUAAUAAUUCAUGUGAUAUCAAUCUCAUAAAGGUUCUUCUUAUGCUUUUAAAUAUGGAAUUUACAAUUAAGGAUUAUCAAUCGUUUCCAGAAUAAAUUGAAGUAAUAUAAAUUCUUUUAGAAUAACGUUAAACUCUUUUAAAUGUUUUUAUAACUCUUUAAACUUAUAAUUGCCAAAAUCAUGUUUAUAUAUGUUUAAAUAUAUAAAUAAGAUUUAAAGGGCUUAGGACUAAUGAAUUACCUUAAUUCCUUUUCCUUGUUUGGAUGUGGGAUUAAGUGGUGUUAUUUUUCUGAAGGUCGUUUCCUUCUUAAUUAUAUAUAUAUUAUACAUAUAUGAAUAUAAAAGGUUACUUCAUUCGGUAUCAUUACCUGUACUGCUGAACUUUGCUGAUAACCCUCUGGUUGCAGACCGACAACUCUCUGAACCGCUGCUCCACUAGCUCUCCGAGCUACUAAUAUCAAUAUAACACUUAGUUCCAAACUGAACUCUAGAAUUCAAACUAAACCAACUUUGGUCAAAGUGAAAGUCUUGGUCAAAGUCAACUUUCCAGUUGACUCGACUUGCCGAGUCAACCUAUAGACUCGCCGAGUUCUUAAAUUCAGAAACUUCUCAAAAUACGAACCAACUCGCCGAGUCACCUUAAUACCCAUCGAGUUCAACGAUAUCUGGGUCCCAGCCUAUCCAACUCAUUGAGUCACUACUCAAAUCACUAAUCUGCGUCUUGACUAGAAAAGGUCGAGGUUCUGCGACCAGACUCGCCGAGUCCAAGAACAGACUUGCCGAGUCCAAGGCAAUCUUCAACAAACUAGCCGAGUUGUUCAUCCAACUCGCUGAGUCCAUGCUCAUGUUCAUACAACUCGCUGAGUACACCCAUGUGACUCGCCGAGUCUCUCCAGUUCUCAAUCCAUACAGUGGCUUUUUGAGCCAUGCAGGGGCUCCAAUCCAUAGAUCCACUCUUCUACAAUCUAACCCUUAUGUAAAGUUGCAAACUUCACGUGAAACCAAGGAGAUAAAGGUCUAAAUCACUCUAGGGCUAGGGCGUAAGACAAAGGGGCUUUACCAACAACUCUUUGACUGAUGCUUUAUGAUAUUCUAGACCAAUACAAGUGUAGAUCUGGAGUAGCAACCUCAGAUCUAAACUCCAAACCCGAAAUAGAUCUCAAACACACCAAAAUGGCCCCAAAUAUCAUUCAUGAAUAGAUCUAGAUGCAAAAGAGGGAAGGUAACAACUUAUUACCUCCAAGAUGUGCCCAAACCGAAGUAGAUUCUGGAUCUACACCACUCUCUUGAUGCAGCCCUCUUGAUCUUCAAAUUUCUGCCAUAGAAACAACUUCCAAAGCUUCAAUCUCCCUCCAAAGGCCUCACACUCGCAAGCUUAGGGUUUUCUGGUUCUCAAGGGCACUAAAGAGGCUGAGAGAAGGAUAUAAAGUCCUUUAAACAGGGUGCAACCCUUGAGAUUAGGGUUUUCUCAUUCCAGCAUCAACUUGUCGAGUCCAACUUCCGACUCGGCGUGUUGGUCACUUAAUUCGCGACCCAAAACCCGCACCGGCUCGACGAGUAAAUCUACCUACUCGUUGAGUCCCUUCUUCAAUUUACACUUUAAUCCCUUAACUCAAACUUCUGAAAUUUGGGAUGUUACAAAGGAUCAUGUGGAAAAUGGUAACGUAGAUAUUCAUUUUGUAAGGACUACUGAUCAAUUGGCUGACAUCUUUACUAAGGCCUUACCUGAAAUAAGUUUAAAUAAAAUCCUAUAAGGCUUAGGAAUGAUGGAAGUUGAGUUUGUACCAAAAUCACUUUCGCCUCAAUAAAAGUUGGUAGCAAAAUAGAGUGAACGCUCGGUCCAUUUUGGGUUCAGUUCUUUUAGGAACCGAAAUGAACCGGUUCUUAUCUUCUAGUGAUGGUUUCUAUUAUAUAGUAUGUAUACUCUUCUCUCAUAUUUAUUUUAUGUUUUUCCUUUUUUUUCAUAAAAUCCCAAAAUAUUUUUCUUUCUGUUUUAAUUCUUUUUUCAGAAAAUCUUAUAAAAUUCAAAAACAUUUUUCUUUUCUGCUUUUAUUUCUUUUUAGAAACUUCAAAACUCAAAAAUAUUUUAUUUCAUUUUAUUGAAAUUUUCUUCAAUCUUAAUCUAAUUUGUAUAUAUGGACUAUUCACAAUGAUGGAGUAGGGGCAUGUAUAAUUCUUUAUCUAUGUACUAGCUAAGUGUCCCUAGAAGCAUGUUGUUGUAUGUUGACUCAAGCCUCAAAGCUUCUGAGUGAGGCCUUAAUGACUUGAUAAAAACCAAUCAUGUCUUCCCAAUUAGGCUGUCAAAUUCACUCUAAUCAUGAGCUACCAUACUCUUCUCCAAAUUGAGUUAAGAGUUUUUCUACGUGGUCCUAUUUUAUAGCAGUGGUACAUUUGUUCUUUAACCACCUCAAUUUUUAUUUUGAGAGAUCCAUAUGAUAGUGUCUAUAACCAUGACUUUUCUUCCCAUAGGAUCCAAUUUUUAUUUUUUCAUUGAGAUUUUUAAUUAUCUUUUGUCAACAAGUCACUGAAUAUGUUCCAAAAGUAGUUGUUUAACAGGCCUUAUUGGUCUCACAAGUACUUCUUUCUAUUUCGGUCUUAUGUCAAGUACCAAAACCAGAAUUGAAGCAAAAGCCACCCUUAAUAGCAGUAUAUAUCAAAGAUGCCUUUCAAUGCUUCUCAACAAGUAUUUGAUUGUAAUUCAAUGGGAAUCCAAACAAGCAUUUUGAAGUCUCUCUUGACUUUGAAGGAAGAGAUUUGUGCCCAUGAUCCACUGCUUUAUGAAUUAAAUGACAUCACAAAAUCCCACAAAUAGUUUGAUUUAUUUCUUUAACUUUGACACUAUCUUGCACGAAAAUCUCGAAUUUUCCAAAAGUCUUGUUCGGUUCAUAAAUAUAUAGCUUCGGUUCCUAACGGUGUAAUGUAGUAAUUUCCAAAUGAAGGGAUGCGUCGUAUAAAGCCUUUGUUAAUUAUGACGAUAAAGUUUCAAGCAGUGGGUCAGCAGGAAGUCUAAUCGAUUCUUAAUCAAAAUAGGAUAAGUAUGGAAAGGCCCGUGAAUUUGAACCGUUACCUUAUCGUGCGUCAUCAGCUGCUUUAUCGGGGUUGCCAGUGGUCCAAUCACGCCUUUUUAUGCAUCGUUUCCCAAAUUAGAGGAAUCAUUGCUCGUGAUUUUUCUCUCUCUAACAAAAUUGUAUAUAAGGGUUUCGAUUUCCGUGGUAUUAUUGUCUACCACUCUUCAUCUCUCUACAUCAAAAUAAGUUGAUUUGGUAUUCACUGUUCAUCUUCUUCUUCAUCAAGCUUCGACAAUGGCAAAAUCUUCUUUUGUUCAAGAAACCUUUACACACUCCAAUCUUCUCGCAAUGAAGCCCAACCAGAACUUGCUGAUUGAUCUCACACCAUUCCUCUAUGAUACAUACAUGUAUCACGUGGCGGAAUGUCUUAAGUAUUUGCUACUCAUCAAAGCAUUAUCAACGGUGGAUGUUGUACCAAUGGCGUGCCUUUCUCAACUCUAUUCCACUGCAACUUACGACAAACCUUCAAAAAAGAUUUAUUUUGGCAUUCUCAAUUAGAAGGCCUCAAUAUCCAAGAAUCGAUUUUACUCGCUGCUAGGGCUCACUUAUGAAGAAUCCAUGGUGAAUCUUGAUUCCAUCUCUACAGGUCAGCUUUUCUCAAUGUUUUAAAACAUGGGGUACACUGAAACCCUUACUACUAUGAACAAAUUUAAGAAAUCAUGCCCUCCUCCUCCAUGGAAUGGCCUCUUCACCCUUCUUUUUAAAGGACUUUUACAAAGAAGUGCAGGAUCAGAUGGCGCUAGCAAGUCUUUCAUGACUCUGCUUUAUUGGUUAUACGAUGGUAUCAACCUUGAUUAUGGUUCAGUAUUAUCGCUUAAGCUUGUCAUAACUUUGUCUUCUGCUUCUCGCCACACAUAGAUUUCCUGUUCCCGUUUUUGGACCAUUAUCACUCAAUGGAUUAUGGAGCGUUUUCAUGUUCCCAUUAUGGCUGAUUCACUUCUCCCCUUCAUUGCUACAUUUCAUACCACAAAUAUCAUAGUCACUCAUCCCUCGAAAUUUCACUUUGUUGGCUCUAUCCCAGAGUCAAUGUAUGCUUAAGUGUCUCAUGUAAGCAAGCUUACUCAAGAGUACAAGAAGCUCCCCUCUUUUGGUCCAAUAAAACUUACACCUGAAAUGUUAAAGUCUAUUGAAGAAGCAGACAAACCUGCUAAUAGGGGCAAGAAGCCAGAAGCAAAAAAGGGAGAAAAAGGGGGGUAGAGUAUCAAAGGUUCACUCUCCAAAGAAACAAAAGUCUGAGAAGGCAACACCUUUCCAACCCUAGCAGAAGAAGGUCAAGAAACCUGCUCGGAAGCUUAUUCUUCAAUCAUCAAGCGACUCUGACUCUGAGUAUGUGCCUACUGGUCAUCAACCCAUCAUUCGUAGCGAAUCUGAGAGUGAAAGCUCAGAUGAUGAAGAUUCGGUUCGUGGUGGCUCACCACCUCGCCCCCCUAUGCCAGAGGUUUCUGUUUGCUCCCAAGCACCUUCUCCUCCACCUUUUUCCAUUCCUAUUUCCUUACCUCACAAUUUCCCAAUAAUCACAUCUCAACCUUCCUCUACCAUUCCCAUUCCUACACCUAUUUUCUUUGAAGCUACAACCACCAUUACAGGGUGCUGCAGCGCAAAAUGCCAACACGGUCAGUGCUUCGGUUAAGACCUUAACUCAAUCUCUUCAACAAAAGAAAGAUCUCUUUGAGGUGCUUCGCCAGAACCUCUGUUCUGGUCAAGUCAAACAUCAAGCUUCGGUCUCUGAACGUUUAAAUGAACUUCAGGGAUAUCUUGCCUUGGAAAGCAGGGUGAUGGAUGAACUUGCUCUAAAGACCACUCAACUCAAAACCCAGACUCUCAAGCUUAAUCAAGCAAACAAGGAACUUGAAGCACUACGUUCGGAGCGGUCUGUGGUAAAAAGCUCUGUUGGUAAUGUUCAUUCCAUUCUUCUCCAUCUUCUUGAAGCCUACGAUUCGGUUCUUACCAUCUUAGUUAGACAUCAUUUAGCUGAGAAAUUACGGCCUGCUCUUGAUAUUUUAAGCCGGAUAGAGGGUGUUACAGAGUCCGUUGUCUCUCCGCAACAUGGGGGAGAAGAAAAAAAGACUUCAUCCUAACCACCGAAACCUCAACACCCGAAACCACAACAACCAAAAGUGGUUACCGAACCGAAAGGGAAAGAAGCUUCGGGUUCUGGUGUGAAAGGAUAAGGGAAAAGAAAUUAUUGAUAAUAAUGAUGAUGAGGAUGACGUUGAUGUUAUUGAAGAAACGGUUCCUAAACCAAGUCCACUCAAAGCCAAGCCCACUACUCAGGAGAUUAAGGAAAAAGUCACUGAAGCGAUUAAUAAGGAGAAUGAGAAGAGAGAAGCAAAUCUGCUUAAUCAGAGGAAAUUGAUGUUUCCUCUGUGGACGUUGGAAAGGCAUCAAAUGGAGGUUGUUGAAGCUGCAUGUUCAAACUGGCUAGAGGCUUAUCUUUCCUUCAAUGUCGAGAAUUCUAAAGAUUCUCAAUUUUAUAUGCCAAUCACUAGUAAGGCUAUCAUCUUUCACUGCUUUGAGCCUACGGUGGUGAUUCCUUCUCCUGACCCGAAGAUUGAUUAGACUUGCUUAAAUACUAUUAUGAAUUCUAUUAACCUCUGUACCUAACCUGGAGUAACAAAAAAAUGACAACAGUCAAGGUGCUGAAACCUACUAGGGAAGUUUAUUAAUAUCAAAUUCAAAGCGACCCGAGGAUCAGAUCGUUCGGUCCAUAUGAUUUCCCUUGUUGAUCUGCCAAAUCUGAAUCCACACGAUUGGAUUCUCCUGAAGAACAUCCUUCACUACAAUCAGAAGGAAUAUGAGCCCAUCAUCGAUCACAUCAAGCAUAUGCUAGUAUGUUACAUUCAUGAAGUGGCAAAGAUGGAUCAGGAAAUUGUUGCUGCUAUACGCAAGAGGCCCUUAAUCAAGCAAGUCGAGAAGGCAGGUGACACUAAGCUGAUGGUGAAAGAAUUAUUGAUCCACAGUCUCACAUUGUUAUGUUUCUUAGAGGCGAUGGUCAAAGGUUGUUAUUUGCUCUGGCUGACAAACAUCUAUUCUCUAAUUCUUGCUUGGAGCACAUUCUUGAGCUUAUCCAUGGAUGUGAUCAAAACAGUGAGGCAGAGAAAAAGCUGAUUUCCGAUAUGCUUUGGUGGUAUAUGGCUUUCAGACAGACUCUUCUUGCAAUUAUUACAAGAGUGUUCAAGGUUGUGAAGCGAACUCCUCAACCUCCACUGAAGUGAAGUCUCGCCCCAAUUGACGCAAAGGGGGAGAUUGUUGGGUCCAGAAGUGUUGCGUCUUUGGGCUCGAUCUUUUGCCCAAUUUUGUUAUCCAGUUUGGGUCUGUCCAACCAUGUUUGUUUUUAAUAGGGUUUUAGUAUUUAAGGUGCAUGCAUACUGAUGGGUUUUGGUCAUAAGACAUCCUAUGUGCUCAUACAAACCCUAAUGCUUGGAUCUAGGUUUCUCUAUUGUACAUGCUAUGAUUCCAAGACUAUAAACCCUAAUUCUAGCAUAUGGAAAUUAGAAUUCACAUGUAAAUAGGUUUAAGAACAUACCUUGAUUGUUAUAUAGCAAUAACAAUCCAAUUCCUCCUUGAAUUGACCUUGGAAAGCUGAGAGUCACAAGUGUCACUCCUCUAAUGGCUAACAAACACCAUAAGCAAGUGGAGAAGGUAUAAAGAGAGAGGAGAGAGGUUAGAAUUCGUCCUUAGGACCUCUUGGGAAGGGUUAGACGAAUUCCUAAGCCCUAGGGGGUUUAUAUAAUUGUAAAGAUUAAGGUUUUAGUACUUAUCCUUAUCUAGUUGCUUGUCCACCAAGCAACCAUAAGAUAAGUCCUAGAAACCCUUAUCCUAGUCGAAUUCUAAGGGAUUUACACCUCAAAUUCGUUCACCAUAUAUAUAAGAUAAUCCUUACCUUAUUUUGUAACUAUCACAUAAUUACAAUUCAGCCCCUCUAGUUUAAUUAAUUACACUUGAUCACAAAAUUAAUUCUUAAUUAAUUAUUGACCAAUAUUAAUUAAACAAAUAUGAUUUCUCCUUUAAUAUAUUAUUCUUAUAACAUAUUAAUAAAUCAUAAUAACCUCUCUCUCUAUUUAUUUCUCCAAUCAAGUUGCUUUGGUGAAGGCAACCCAAAAGGACCAUGCACCAUCGGGUCAAGUACAUACCAAAAUAGUUAUGGACUUAGACACUAAUCCAACAGUCUCCCACUUGGAUAAGUCUAACAACUAUUCUGCGUAUGACUUCGGAUCCCGAUCUGCAAUCGUAGCUUUCCAAAGCCGCUGUCAACUCUGAUCAUAUCAGAUACGCGUGUCCUUAGAUAAGGGAUCAUAUAUUCCUCCAUUCUAGAUAUCAUAUGAGAUAUGAUUUCAAAUCAUUCUCUUUGUACUAUAUCUCGAUUUCCGAUUUAUGACGACUGACUAAUUGAACAAAUCAAAUUAGCCCUAGCCCGGCCGAGCAUUUACGUUUGUCAUCACUAAACCAUCGAGGGGCCCAAAGAUAUCGCUUUUAUCCUACUUUGGAUAAAAGGAACGGAUAAACUUUGAUACAAUGCUUGCUUGCACUCACUCACCGAAUCACACACAACAAUAUGUUUUAUAACACCAAGUUACUAGUGCGUUUACAUAUUAUCAAUGUGCAACCGAUUUGCAAGAUACAACUCACACAUCUCGGUUUCAAGAAUAUAAGAUGUUAUCGUCUCACCAAUCACUCGUGAUACAAUUCAUGGAGUGAUCCAAGUGAGCGUGGGUUUAAUCCAAUGCUCAAAUCACAUUCAUAAGCACUCAUGAACGUUGCAGCAAACAUUUGCUUAUGUCUAAUACUCUUUUAGACAAUCCACACACCAAUUCACGACAGUCUUCAUUCAUAUCUACUUCCAACAUAUGAACGACUGUGGCCCGUUUGAAUAAUUCGAUUAUUCUUAAUAAACUCAAUUAUUCUGGAAGUCAAAACAUGCAAAUGUGAAACACAAGAAUAAUACUAAUCCCAUAUGGCCUCAAACCUUUGAGUAUAAAUAAAACACCUUUUAUUUAUCACCAU